rnacentral:rRNA from 1 species
AUGAUGGUACCAGUGCUGGGCUGGUUGACUCGAAUGCUGGGUCCGGGUGCGGGCAGCAUGUUGGCGGCGGUAGUCCAGGUAGGCCGCAGGGUGACGGCGCCGUCGGCGGCAAGCUUCUCCGACAAGGUCCGUUCAGUGUAUGACCGGGCUGGAGCAAAAGUCGACACGACGUACAGGGAAAAUCUAUAUGACAUUGCCGUUUGGGCUUUUGUGGGAGUGAAUAACCAUUUCCAAAGUAUCAUCCUCUCUGGCAUGCUGAUGUGGGAUGAGCAAGUAGAGAGUUUCAAGUGGGUUUUCCGCGAGUUUCUACAUAUGAUGGGAGGACCGGCACCUAAGACCAUCCUGACAGACUAG